rnacentral:lncRNA from 1 species
GUUGGUUGGUUGGUUGGUUGGUUGGUUGGUUGGUUGGUUGAAAUUCAAACACACAUAAAACUGUUUAAAUAGUGCCAAAACCACAUAAUUUGAUGACCUUGACCUUUGACCUUGUAACCUUCGUCAAGGUCAUUGCUCCACAAGGUCAUUGCAAAAGACCCUAUGGGUCAAGGACCUUUUGUUUAAGAGUUUUGCCUAAAAAUGGCCUUUUAAAAACCAUCGAUGGGAGUUAUGUCCCUUACAUGAUGGUAAAAUCAAUAUAGUCAUAAUGUAAAAAAAGUUGCCCCUUGAAGUACCAAGCAUUUUUCACUGCUUAAAUUUUUUUGUAUCUAUAACCGUUCAAGAGUUAUAGGGAAAUCAAAGACAUAUGAAAAUCUAAAAUAUGACCUUGACCUUUGACCUUGACCUAAUUUUCUAAGUUAGGAAUCAGGGGACUCAAAUAAAAACAUUCCAGGGUUAUACGGUUAACGGUUUAUGAGUUAAAAAAACAUACCGACAAAUUUAUUCCGAAAAGAUAGAUAACUCCUAUAAAAUUUCUUCGAAUCGCUUCGAUCCAAAUACGCCAAAAAUUACUGAGGAUGUAACGAACAAUUUUGUAAAAUAAAUUUGUCAUAAUCUUUAACGGUUGCGAAGGAGAUGCCAUAACAAGGAAAACAGUGUUUGGGGAGAUAACUCCUACAAAGAAAAGUAUUCGUUUACGCAGGGUAAAUUUCAAAAGCGCAUAAACUGUUCGAUAUCAUAUACAAAAUAUCUAAGCGACAUAUUGCGAAACAAAUGUUUAUCGCAAGAACAAAAUUAGGCGGAAGAAAAAAAAAAAUAAUCAGAAGA